rnacentral:rRNA from 1 species
AGAGUUUGAUCAUGGCUCAGGAUGAACGCUGGCGGUAUGCUUAACACAUGCAAGUCGAACGGGGUCCUUCGGGACUUAGUGGCGGACGGGUGAGUAACGCGUGAGGAUCUGGCUUCAGGAUGGGGAUAACAUUGGGAAACUGAUGCUAAUACCCGAUAUGGCGAGAGCUGAAAGAUUAAUCGCCUGAAGAUGAACUCGCGUCCGAUUAGCUAGUUGGAGUGGUAAUGGCACCCCAAGGCGAUGAUCGGUAGCUGGUCUGAGAGGAUGAUCAGCCACACUGGGACUGAGACACGGCCCAGACUCCUACGGGAGGCAGCAGUGGGGAAUUUUCCGCAAUGGGCGCAAGCCUGACGGAGCAAUACCGCGUGCGGGAGGACGGCCUUUGGGUUGUAAACCGCUUUUCUCAGGGAAGAAGAUCUGACGGUACCUGAGGAAUCAGCAUCGGCUAACUCCGUGCCAGCAGCCGCGGUAAUACGGAGGAUGCAAGCGUUAUCCGGAAUUAUUGGGCGUAAAGCGUCCGCAGGUGGUUUAUCAAGUCUGCUGUCAAAGCGUGGAGCUUAACUCCAUACGGGCGGUGGAAACUGAUGAACUAUAGGAUGGUAGGGGUCACGGGAAUUCCCAGUGUAGCGGUGAAAUGCGUAGAUAUUGGGAAGAACACCAGCGGCGAAAGCGCGUGACUGGGCCAUUACUGACACUCAUGGACGAAAGCUAGGGGAGCGAAAGGGAUUAGAUACCCCUGUAGUCCUAGCUGUAAACGAUGGACACUAGGUGUUGCCCGUAUCGACCCGGGCAGUGCCGUAGCCAACGCGUUAAGUGUCCCGCCUGGGGAGUACGCACGCAAGUGUGAAACUCAAAGGAAUUGACGGGGGCCCGCACAAGCGGUGGAGUAUGUGGUUUAAUUCGAUGCAACGCGAAGAACCUUACCAGGGUUUGACAUCCUCCGAAUUCUUGGGAAACCGAGAAGUGCCUUCGGGAGCGGAGAGACAGGUGGUGCAUGGCUGUCGUCAGCUCGUGUCGUGAGAUGUUGGGUUAAGUCCCGCAACGAGCGCAACCCACGUUUUUAGUUGCCAGCAUUAAGUUGGGCACUCUAGAGAGACUGCCGGUGACAAACCGGAGGAAGGUGUGGAUGACGUCAAGUCAGCAUGCCCCUUACAUCCUGGGCUACACACGUACUACAAUGCUUCGGACAGAGGGUUGCGAGCACGCGAGUGCAAGCUAAUCCCGUAAACCGAGGCACAGUUCAGAUUGCAGGCUGCAACUCGCCUGCAUGAAGGCGGAAUCGCUAGUAAUCGCCGGUCAGCAUACGGCGGUGAAUACGUUCCCGGGCCUUGUACACA